rnacentral:rRNA from 1 species
AGUGAACGCUGGCGGUAGGCCUAACACAUGCAAGUCGAACGGCAGCACAGUAAGAGCUUGCUCUUACGGGUGGCGAGUGGCGGACGGGUGAGGAAUACAUCGGAUUCUACUUUUUCGUGGGGGAUAACGUAGGGAAACUUACGCUAAUACCGCAUACGACCUACGGCUGAAAGCAGGGGAUCUUCGGACCUUUCGCGAUUGAAUGAGCCGAUGUCGGAUUAGCUAGUUGGCGGGGUAAAGGCCCACCAAGGCGACGAUCCGUAGCUGGUCUGAGAGGAUGAUCAGCCACACUGGAACUGAGACACGGUCCAGACUCCUACGGGAGGCAGCAGUGGGGAAUAUUGGACAAUGGGCGCAAGCCUGAUCCAGCCAUACCGCGUGGGUGAAGAAGGCCUUCGGGUUGUAAAGCCCUUUUGUUGGGAAAGAAAAGCAGCAGGUUAAUACCCCGCUGUUCUGACGGUACCCAAAGAAUAAGCACCGGCUAACUUCGUG